UGUAGGAAGAAACAUCAGGUUAUAACCACCAGGGCUGACUGAGGCAGUUUAGAUGAAUGCUUUGAAGUCAGGAAAUGACCUCACUGGGAUAUGACACCUCAUUGGAAGCAAUGGAAACCUGGACCAUCCAUUCUCCACUUUCCCUUCCAUUUCUCCAUUCAGAAACAUAUCAGUGUCCUUAUUCUCCUGUAAAAGAAUACAAGUUGAAACGCUUUCAGGUGACAGUAUUGCUCAACAUAAAAACUCUACCCUCUGGUACAUUGGCACUAUUAUUGUUCUCAUUGUAUGGAUGUGGACCCUGAUGUGCAGAAACUUAAGUCAAUUGCCCAAGGUCGCAUUGCUGAACCAGAGCAAAUCAAUUGUCUAGCAGCUAGGAGGUCUUCUUCACCACAGAACUAUGGCUCUCUUCCUUCGGGUUUAAGGAUCUUUCAAUUUGGGGAAUUAUGGCACCUCUUUAUAUGGAUUUCACUGAGAUUCCAAGAUGAUCAACUUGGAAAAUGGAUUUCAAGUGCCUUGAAAUAUAUAAAACAUGAGGACAGCAGUCAAAUAUUAUCAAUGAAAUG